GGUGGAUGAGACCGUUGAGAGGUGGAGGCAAGAUCUGGAGAGAGAGGAAUGAAAAUCAGCAGAAUAUGACAGAAUAAUGAGUGUGAAUGAGACAGAGGCACGGGCAGCUACAAGGAGCAGAGAAGAGUUUAAAUGCCUGUAGUCAACCAUCCAACAACAGACAGAAGAAGAGCGUGCAGGGACGUCAUCAAGAGAAUAGACCAGUCCGAGUUUGAGGGAUUUGAAUACAUCAACCCCCUGCUGCUAGCCACAGAAGAGUCUGUAUGAAGGAGAAACCAGCGUCCUCCUCCGAGCUGCUGUUCAAAAACAGAAACAAACAAACAAACUUGCAAGCCAACUCAACUCAGAAAGGCGACAACAAGGAGGAAGUUCCCCCUGGACCUGUCCACAAGGCAAACGGGAGGACGGAGAGUUUUUCCCUGGGGAGCCGGACGCCGGACUACAGGAACAUUCCCUGACUUUAUGCUGUCUUCUCCUUUUCUUUGUUCGGUCCUGUUGUCCCUGUCAGUCCAUCCUUGUGUCAGAGCAGGACUGGCUGUGUGAGCGUUUCAUUCUGUGCCUGCCACCAUCAACACGUUUCAGCCCAUCUCACGCCCUGGAUGAAUACGACGGCUUUGCGAAACAACUUUAAAUAAUUUUACGUGCAAUUUUUUAUUCUUCUUUUUUUUCUAUCUUGGUAGGGGGGCCACGCCUCACACACACAAGAAUGUACAAUGACAAAGGAGAAAAUGUUGUUAUUGUGUAUUAUGAUGUAGCUAGUGAAUCCAAAAUUGAUGAUGCCUUUUAUUGAUGCAAGCGGCACAUGUUCCUCCAUAACCACAAACUUUUCUUUGUGUUCUGUUGUUUUCACAAACAAGGGGGUGACAACUUUUUAUUUAAGAAGUGCCUCAAAGAUCAAAUGAUUUCCCGUGUCUCUGAUUGCACCUCUCUGUUCACCUGUUAUGGCUGCAGCAGGUAACGCAGCUGAAACUCUGCCAGGGUAUGUCUGAACUCUCGUCCAGCGUGUGGAGCUCGCUAAGCUGCCUCAGUCCCCACACACAAACAAACCUUCUUAUUUUUAACCAAUCGUUCAAAUAAUCAACAUUUCCUGUGAAUAUGUAAUUGACACGAGCAGCUGGGAGGAGACCUGACCUCUUUCCUUACACAUGUGUAAUUGUAAUAUUUCCCAGUGAAGGUCCGCGUUAUCGUCACAUAGGUGAGGAGCAGCAGACAGACUUGGCCCAUGCCUGCUGUCAGACGUUGGCUUCAGCUUUCACAGUAAAUGCAGCUUUGGGUUCCUCCUCACCAGGUGCUGCUGCGUGACCAUCUGUGUGACCUGCUGGGGGAAACUGGUCACCGUUUCCUUUAUGGGCUCACUGUGUGGUUCCAUGUCUACAGUGACCUGCUGCAACGACAGCUGGAAAUCUGUUUGCAAGUCUAAAUGAAAUGGGAGAACAGCAGAAAAGCCAUGAGAGCUUUUCCGUGGUGUUCACAGACAUUAGUGGGUCUUCCCUGUGUGGGGGAACAAAGCUAUUUUGGGUUAAAUUCCAGGUGUCUUACUUUGGAGUUUGUCUCGCCGCCCUCCCUGAGCCUGGUUCUGGCAGAGGUCUGUUCCCAUUAAACGGGCGUUCUUCCUCCCUACUGUUGCCAAGCUCUGUUUAUAGAGGAUCAUCUGAUUGUUGAGGACUAUGCCUACAGUACUAGAGAUACUGUAAAAAAGUGCCCUGAGACAACUGCUGGGGCGCUAAAGAAAGAAAAGUGGGUCAUUCCCAGUCUCAGCUGGAAUGUUCUGGAUGAGUGCUAGUCAGGGGUUGGAGGAUUAGGUCACUAUUAUAAUUCAUGCCCUCCACCAUGCAGCUGCUGGUGCACAACAGCUAUAAAACCAGUACGAAGCCAUGAGUUUGUCUUUACUAUAUAAUGAAGUUUUCAGGACACUUUAACUCUGUAUACUGCCUCCUUUUAUACACAGCAAGCAACAUAUCAGUACCUAACUGAAGCUUUGAUGUUUUAAUGCUGGGACAUCAGUGAGCACACAUUCAUGUCUCCAACACAACUUGGUGCUUCUGAUGCAAGCUGUGUGUAUCUGCAUACAUGUUCUUCUGAGGGAGAAGCUCUCAAUUGGCUGUUUGUGAUGAAACCUGACCGACGCUAAUUUAAUAACCUCAUAAUAGGAUUAAUUAGCUGAUCAGUCACAGGGCCUCAAUUAGCUGCAGGCCCUGUACAGGCAGGGAGACGGCGUAAUGAAGUUCCAGUCACAAUGAAAAUACACACCUCUAAUCUAAAGAAGCAUCCUCCUCCUCCAACCCCGACACUCCAUCUCACAGACUGUAUUUUAUUACCUGCACACAGGUGAUACAUUAGUGAUGCUUUUUUUCCCCUUAAGGGACCAAUGGAUAAACUGGAAGCUCUUGACUCCACCUUACAGAACAUGAAGGCUGCUCAAACCCCAUGAAGGAUUAUUCAACUACAGUUCUGCUUUUACAUAAUGCUGGCCAGGUCUGCUUCAUUUAGCUUCAUCGCAUCUUUGUAAAUAUGUGUAAUUAUUAAAAAUCAAACUGGUUUUCUGUGAA